AUUGAACGCUGGCGGCAUGCUUUACACAUGCAAGUCGAACGGCAGCGCGGGCUUCGGCCUGGCGGCGAGUGGCGAACGGGUGAGUAAUACAUCGGAACGUGCCCAGUAGUGGGGGAUAGCUCGGCGAAAGCCGGAUUAAUACCGCAUACGACCUGAGGGUGAAAGCGGGGGAUCUUCGGACCUCGCGCUAUUGGAGCGGCCGAUGGCAGAUUAGCUAGUUGGUGGGGUAAAGGCCUACCAAGGCGACGAUCUGUAGCUGGUCUGAGAGGACGACCAGCCACACUGGGACUGAGACACGGCCCAGACUCCUACGGGAGGCAGCAGUGGGGAAUUUUGGACAAUGGGCGAAAGCCUGAUCCAGCAAUGCCGCGUGUGUGAUGAAGGCCUUCGGGUUGUAAAGCACUUUUGGCGGGAACGAAAAGGACUGUGCCAAUACCACGGUUCGAUGACGGUACCCGCAGAAUAAGCACCGGCUUACUACGUG
rnacentral:rRNA from 1 species